rnacentral:rRNA from 1 species
UACGUAGGGGACUAGCGUUGUCCGGAUUUAUUGGGCGUAAAGAGCGUGUAGGCGGCCAUGUAGGUCCGGUGUGAAAACUCGAGGCUUAACCUCGAGAUGUCAUCGGAAACCAUUUGGCUAGAGUCCGGAAGAGGAGAGUGUAAUUCCUGGUGUAGCGGUGAAAUGCGCAGAUAUCAGGAAGAACACCAAUGGCGAAAGCAGCUCUCUGGGACGGUACUGACGCUGAGACGCGAAAGCGUGGGGAGCGAACAGG